rnacentral:RNase_P_RNA from 1 species
AGAGUCGCCCGGAUCACCGCGUUGCGUAAGCACCGAGGAAAGUCCGGACUCCACAGAGCAAGGUGAUGGCUAACAGCCAUCCGGAGCAAUCCGCGGGAUUAGUGCCACAGAAAUUAAACCGCUCAUGCAAAUGAGUAAGGGU